AGUCACUGGUUUCUUUCCCUAACUAAGACCAGAGGCGAAGUGAAAGCGGCGGCGGGAGGCUUCCACGCCUUCCCGCCGGGGAGGAUGGCCCGGCAAUAUUCUUUGCCGGCCCGCACUCCCGGGGCGCCCCGGGCCCGUCCGAGGCGCACCCGGAGCGUACACGUUGGGACCCGAAAGAUGGUGAACUAUGCCUGGUCAGGACGAAGUCAGGGGAAACCCUGAUGGAGGUCCGCAGCGAUUCUGACGUGCAAAUCGAUCGUCAGAGCUGGGUAUAGGGGCGAAAGACUAAUCGAACCAUCUAGUAGCUGGUUCCCUCCGAAGUUUCCCUCAGGAUAGCUGGCGUCCGUUUGGGACCGACGAGUCUCAUCCGGUAAAGCGAAUGAUUAGAGGCCUUGGGGCCGAAACGACCUCAACCUAUUCUCAAACUUUAAAUGGGUGAGAUCUCCGGCUUGCUCGAUUGAAGCCGCGAGUUCACGGAUCAGGGUGCCAAGUGGGCCAUUUUUGGUAAGCRAACUGGCGCUGUGGGAUGAA
rnacentral:rRNA from 1 species